rnacentral:rRNA from 1 species
GCUGUCGUCAGCUCGUGUUGUGAAAUGUUGGGUUAAGUCCCGCAACGAGCGCAACCCUUAUCCUUUGUUGCCAGCGAUUCGGUCGGGAACUCAAAGGAGACUGCCGGUGAUAAACCGGAGGAAGGUGGGGAUGACGUCAAGUCAUCAUGGCCCUUACGAGUAGGGCUACACACGUGCUACAAUGGCGUAUACAAAGAGAAGCGACCUCGCGAGAGCAAGCGGAACUCAUAAAGUACGUCGUAGUCCGGAUUGGAGUCUGCAACUCGACUCCAUGAAGUCGGAAUCGCUAGUAAUCGUAGAUCAGAAUGCUACGGUGAAUACGUUCCCGGGCCUUGUACACACCGCCCGUCACACCAUGGGAGUGGGUUGCAAAAGAAGUAGGUAGCUUAACCUUCGGGAGGGCGCUUACCACUUUGUGAUUCAUGACUGGGGUGAAGUCGUAACAAGGUAACCGUAGGGGAACCUGCGGUUGGAUCACCUCCUUA